ensembl:lncRNA
CCAAAUUAGUGCAUUGUGGGAUAUCCCAACUACCUCCCACUUGCCGUCAUGGGAGUCAGUCAUCUUGGAAGUUAGUCUUUCAGCCCCAGUUACACCUUCCUGAGGAAAUGAUUAAGGCAUUGGAGAGAUUGAGAAAGUCAUUUGAGGUCACAGCCUGCACAAGAGGGAACAUAUCACCCAGGGGUAGAGGAAGUACACGAAGACAUUCAGCCGACACACCAAUCUGAGAGAAGCAAGGGUUUGGAUAUCCAUUGGAUCGCUUCUUCCAAGGUGUCAAUGGAGGCCAAAAGAGAACAUUGGAUCCCUUGGAGCUGGAAUUACAGGUGGCUGUGAACUUUGAACUCGACUGGGGUCCUUUGGAAGAACAGUGCAUGCUCCCAACUACUGAACCAUCUUUUUAGCGCUGAGACCAGGACUUUCUUGAAAGCAACUUCUGCUGGGCAUCAGGCCUCUCUGUCAGUCGAGUGCUGCACCUGUGUGCUUGCCUAUCACCGCCCGUGUCAUUAGGGAGACUGCUUAGCUCAGCUGCAGAAGAAUCCUAGUCCUUAGCACCUUUGGUGUGAAGUCCUGCUGGGCCAAGUGGGUUUCCAAGGAGCUGUUUCUAGCCAAGUCUCCAUAUGCCUGGUGGGUAGGUGUAGAAACCCGAGGAAGGCUUGGCAGGGGAUCUGCAGUGGGAACUGUUACAACCCAAACAAUCACCGUGUACACAGUGCUUCACAUUGUCUCUUGCAUUUACCUGGAAACAGUCACUGGAAACUACAAGACUGUGCAACCCCUAGAAAUGGCUAUGCUACCGAAAAUGCCCGGGACUUGCUGGACAGCUUGCUAUAGUGUCUUCUAGGCAUCUGAAAAGCCACUGAGUAUUUAAAGUGUCACCUCAAGGGAAACAUACCCAGCCAGUCUUUCCACUAGUGAACUGAAACAAAGAUUUUUGGUCAUCUGACUGACCUCCUAGUGCCUUGUUCUGAACUCCACAACUCGGUUUCUUUCUAACGAGUUUUCAGUUCAAGGUCAGAUGCAGUUUGGAAGGAAGCAUUCCUCACAAGCCAGGUGUAAGGACACGUGCUUUGUGAGAGCCUCAGCCUUUGGACUCCAUUCUGGACUUUGACCGCUGUGUGGAGUGCUAGAGAAAUGUGGCCAGGCUGACUCACUACACAGGCUCCCAGACAGUGAGUGGGCAGAACUCGCCUGGAUAGAACCUGGCAAGCUUGGACUUGACCACUGACUGACUCUGCAGUAGCAGAGAAGGCAGCGACAGUAACCACAGGAGCCCCCACCCUAGAUCUUCAGGGGCAGCAUCUCUCUACUUUCUUCUGCUGUGGGUCACCUCUGAUGCCUGCCAAGCUUUCUCACUAUCCUCAAGAGCCCAGACUGUUGGGCCUCAUCCACAGUAGAUGCUGGAAUCAUUGAUGCCCAGGGUGGCUGUGUCAGUUUUUCCCUGGUUCUGUAAUGUCUAUCCCUGGUCACUCUGGGCAGCCAGGUGGGCAAUGAGUGGCCAAGUGUAGGAGAGAGGACACAGGAGGCCAAAAAAGAAAUGGGUGCAUGAACCUGGGUCUGAGGGCUUAGCUGAUGAACACUGAACUUCUGGGAUUUAAGCAUUCCAGACUGUGUUGCUACAGGAUCUUUAGCUCCUUUGAGAAAAUAAAAACAUUCCUACUGUGGACUUCUUAGAACCCAGAUACUGUCAUUUGUGUGUUUCUUCCUAAGGCCAGGUAGAGAGGGCCAGAGAGAAGGCUCAGUGUCAAGAGCAUUGGCUGUUCUUGCAGAGGACCCAGUUCAGUUGCUAGCACCCACAUGCUGGCCUGCAACAUUUAUAUAGUUCCAGGGGAUCUGAC